CCUACGGGGAGCAGCAGUGAGGAAUAUUGGUCAAUGGACGAGAGUCUGAACCAGCCAAGUAGCGUGAAGGAUGACUGCCCUAUGGGUUGUACUCUUCUUUUAUAUGGGAAUAAAACAGGGUAUGCAUCCCCUCUUGUAUGUACCAUAUGAAUAAGGAUCGGCUAACUCCGUGCCAGCAGCCGCGGUAAUACGGAGGAUCCGAGCGUUAUCCGGAUUUAUUGGGUUUAAAGGGUGCGUAGGUGGAUUGUUAAGUCAGGUGUGAAAGUUGGCGGCUCAACCGUAAAAUUGCAGUUGAAACUGGCAGUCUUGAGUACAGUAGAGGUAGGCGGAAUGCGUGGUGUAGCGGUGAAAUGCUUAGAUAUCACGAAGAACCCCGAUUGUGAAGGCAGCUUACUGAACUGUGACUGACGUUGAUGCUCGAAAGUGUGGGUAUCAAACAGGAUUAGAUACCCCUGUAGUC
rnacentral:rRNA from 1 species